rnacentral:rRNA from 1 species
GAGAGUCCUGAAGGAACGUUGAAGACGACGACGUUGAUAGGCCGGGUGUGUAAGCGCAGCGAUGCGUUGAGCUAACCGGUACUAAUGAACCGUGAGGCUUAACCUU